GUUCUAAGUCAUAGAAGUGAAUGAAAUAAUGGCAGGUUUUAACCUUUUGUGCUGGGAAAAGGAUAGUAAAGCCACAGGUAAAUAAUUGUACAGCAUGCCAGGAAGUGAUACAUCCUGCAAGAGAAGACAAGCAUCAGGGAACCGUGGUGUCCAGGCCGGAAACAAACUACCCUAGGUGACUCACAUAGAGAGACUUUAAUGGAAGGCCCCCUUACAGGGCUGUGGAAAGGUUAAAGAAACACAGGGGCUGAGAGGGCCCCCUGCUUCUGUCCUUGGGGACUUCUGCAGUUGUAAUUCAGGAAAUACUGGGAAAUGUGUCAGUAAACAGGUUUCUUUAUUGUGGGACUUCUGAGAUAUUUUAAGACACUAAUGAACACUGUGAAUUUCCAAGAAGAAAAAUGUAAUAGGUGACAUUUUCCAAAUUUGUUUGACUAUUGAAACUCUAUUUAAUUUUACAAAGAAUAUCUCAACUAGCAUCUCUGCGGAGUAAUCUUUGAGUAAACCCAGCAAGGCACUUAUUAAAGCCUUUUCCUGGCUUGAUCUCAAAUGUAUAAAGUGCACCUAAAUCAGAAAGGGGUCAGUACAUUCUUUGUUUCUACUUGGCCUUGUCCGAGAAUCACUGAGAGUGUCAGCCGUCCUUGGACUGCAGCAUGUGCUCCUGACUAACAGUGUAUGAAAACCUGCGCGUGGCGUGAUCCACGAGAAGGCGGCGUGUGUGGUCAGCACUUGAUGGCUGGACAGAAGCACCAAGGGGACUCCUGCUUCUGGUGGAAGAAGCCUGAAAGAUCCUUACACAGACCCUCACUGUGCUCUCUGCCCAGGGACAAUCGAUCACCAAUCUGCGUAGUGUUUGUUUUCCUCCUGUUAGGCUUUUCCAUUCCAGGGGAUGUUGUUCCAUUCAGUUCCUUGUCCUGGAGCGACCAUGGCCUUAUGCUUCAGGGGAGGAGAAGCUGCCUGAGGUGACACUGAAGAGCCAUGUGAGUUAAGUUCUGUGAUGAACCUUCUUCCUCUGCCCCGCGUUGUGCUCUGACACCAGCGCCUGGGCUGCCCCGCCUCAGACCUUUGCUCACUGGGCGUCUGCUUGGAACAUCUGCAUGCCCAACCUCCUCCUACUAAAAUCGCCGCUCUGCUUUGAGGCCUGCACAGUGGCUGCCUCCCUCCCGAAAGCUUCCCCAUAGAAGCUGGAAAUAACCUCUUCCUCUUUUCUACUCCCAUAUCCUAUGUGCUUCUUUGUUGUAACCAUUCCCAUAUUUUCCCUUGUUUUAGUUUUAUCUCAGUUCUCACCACUGUGGUCCACUCACCUUUCCUCAUUCUCCUAGUUCUGUGGCUUCUGUGGAAAUGGCCUUUAGUGAAUUUGUUCCACACUACAGCGAGUUCCCCCUUUCCAGAGGGUUUGCUGUACCCGGGGAAUGGGGCGGGGGCUCAGCAGAAACCCAGAGAACACCAGAGAGACGAGAGAGCUGAGGGGACUAACCACAGUGCUAUGAGGACGGGAAAAGAAAAGGCAAUUAGAAAUUCUGGGGAAUUCAAAUAAGCUGUAUAAGAAACUUAAAGGGAUGGCAGUACCUCCUUGACUUUGUUAUGAGCAGUAUUUAUAUAGUCUAAAUAAAUAGCUGAUUUACUGAUUGAAAUGAAGCAUCGAUAUGAUGACAUCGGGAGGAUGGCAGAGCAGGCAUGGGAUGUGGUGGCGUCAGAGGUUUAUCUGUUACAACGGGAAGUCGAGAGAGAAUGUCUAACAUGAAGACAGCAAUGUCUUUGUAAACAUAGAGACAACUCCCAGAGGAAACGACUAAGCCAAAUGUGGUUUUGCCUGAGGGUCGGGACUAGGUUGUGGAACAGGAAGAGCAGGGGACUCUUCGUUCUUAUUAUAAGCUUUUAAAAUGAUUUAGCCCUGGCUGGUGUAGCUCAGUGGAUUGAGCGCGGGCCUGUGAGCCAAAGGAUCGCGGUUCGAUUCUCAGUCAGGGCACAUGCCUGGGUUGCAGGCCAGUUCCCAGCAGGGGACACACAAGAGGCAACCAUACAUUGAUAGUUCUCUCCCUCUCUCCUUCCU